AUGGUUUAUAACAUAUUUGAGCCAAUAAAAUAAUGUUAGUUAUCAUUCUUGAGUGGGUUUGGCCAAUUCUAUCGAAUCUUGGACUAAGGCAUUAUGUAAUUUAAAUCCAAAGAUAGUUUGAAGAUAUUGUUGCAGAGGAGUUGUUAUUAAGAUAAUCUAUAACUUGUUCUCAUGUUUUCUGCCAUGCAAAAGCUGAAGAUCUUUUUUUGGAUUGAAAAGGGAACUAUAUAGGCUAGUAGGGUUAGGUCUUAUGGAAUUUUUCCAUGGGUUGUAAUUUCCUUUUUAUCAUCUGCCUCUCCUUGUUUUUAGUUCUAUUUGGACGAUAUUCUUAAAAGCAAUAGUGGAGUGCAUUUACCAGAAAAGGGACUGGUUAUUCUCUCAUCGUAUGUUGAGGGUGAGCCUUGGCUCAAUGGUAAGGGGUUGCUCUAUCAUGAUAUGGAAGUUGCACAUAUUUGACCCUUUUUAUGUCCUGCAAUGGCUGGAGCCUUGUGCAUUGGGCCGCCUUAUUAUUUUCUUAUGCUAAUAUAUCUCUUAAAGUUGCUCAAACUUUUAUUCUGCCAGGACCCACAAUUCUUGGAAAUGUUGGCAUUCAGGUGAGUUUCCUCCUGUGUUUCUUAUUGCCUUACAUGAUCUAUCUCGCCUACUUACAUUUCCUAGAGUGCUCACUGCAAGCAAUGCUUCAGGCAUG
rnacentral:lncRNA from 1 species